rnacentral:rRNA from 1 species
AACGCGAAGAACCUUACCAGGGCUUGACAUCCCUCUGACCGGCGCGUAACGGUGCCUUUCCUUCGGGACAGAGGAGACAGGUGGUGCAUGGUUGUCGUCAGCUCGUGUCGUGAGAUGUUGGGUUAAGUCCCGCAACGAGCGCAACCCUUGUCAUUAGUUGCCAGCAGUUCGGCUGGGCACUCUAGUGAGACUGCCGGGGAUAACUCGGAGGAAGGUGGGGAUGACGUCAAAUCAUCAUGCCCCUUAUGUUCUGGGCUACACACGUGCUACAAUGGCUGGUACAAAGAGAAGCGAGACGGUGACGUGGAGCAAAUCUCAAAAACCAGUCCCAGUUCGGAUUGUAGGCUGCAACUCGCCUACAUGAAGUCGGAGUUGCUAGUAAUCGCGAAUCAGAAUGUCGCGGUGAAUGCGUUCCCGGGUCUUGUACACACCG